ACGCUAUGAAAGGUCCGAACCAAAGUGCUCCAGUGUUCAUUGAUGAACGGGAUUAUCACAGACACCGUGGGCAACUCUUUCGAGUAGACCUUGUUCUUGCACCUGGAAUCACGGAGAUUCAAUAAGACAACCUUACAAAAGCUAGCUGCAGCAGCCAAUCGAUGGAUGCUCCCUCUACCGUCAGUAGCCGUGACCCUCACCAAAAGAAUCAAGGAUGAUGCGAUGGCUGACUGUGUGUAUUGAAUGGGCUGGCCUCGCCGUCGCCGCUCUCGUGGCCGCCCUGAUUUUGGGUCUUGUUGAGUUUUCUGUGGGUGCAAAUUGGGGACAAACAUCACGGCCAACAUAUAUUGUGAUCACCAGGGCUAUUCAAUGUUCAAGACAUAGCAAAUGCAAUUUUGCAGUCUUUUAACA